CCUACGGGUGGCAGCAGUGAGGAAUAUUGGUCAAUGGGCGGAAGCCUGAACCAGCCAAGUAGCGUUCAGGAUGACGGCCCUACGGGUUGUAAACUGCUUUUAUACGGGAAUAACGCGCCUUACGUGUAGGGCUUUGCAUGUACCGUAUGAAUAAGGACCGGCUAAUUCCGUGCCAGCAGCCGCGGUAAUACGGAAGGUCCGGGCGUUAUCCGGAUUUAUUGGGGUUAAAGGGCGCGUAGGCCGCAUGUCAAGCGUGCUGUGAAAUUUCCGGGCUCAACCCGGGCCUUGCAGCGUGAACUGGCGUGGUUGAGUCCGAGGAAAGCAGGCGGAAUGCGUCGUGUAGCGGUGAAAUGCUUAGAUAUGACGAAGAACCCCGAUUGCGAAGGCAGCUUGCUGCAGCGGAACUGACGCUGAUGCUCGAAAGCGCGGGUAUCGAACAGGAUUAGAUACCCUUGUAGUC
rnacentral:rRNA from 1 species